rnacentral:rRNA from 1 species
CUACGGGUCGCUCCAGUGAGGAAUUUUGCGCAAUGGGGGAAACCCUGACGCAGCAACGCCGCGUGAGUGAUGAAGGCUUUCGGGUCGUAAAGCUCUGUCAAGUGGGAAGAACAUGUAUAAGGCCAAUACCCUUAUGCACUGACGGUACCACUGAAGGAAGCACCGGCUAACUCCGUGCCAGCAGCCGCGGGUGAUACGGGGGGUGCAAGCGUUAUUCGGAAUCAUUGGGCGUAAAGAGCACGUAGGCGGUUUUUUAAGUCAGAUGUGAAAGCCCGGGGCUUAACCCCGGAAGUGCAUUUGAUACUGGGAAACUUGAGUAUGGGAGAGGGAAGUGGAAUUCCUGGUGUAGAGGUGAAAUUCGUAGAUAUCAGGAGGAACACCGGUGGCGAAGGCGACUUCCUGGACCAAUACUGACGCUGAGGUGCGAAGGCGUGGGGAGCAAACAGGAUUAGAUACCCCCGUAGUC